UAAGUUAUUAAGGGCGCACGGUGGAUGCCUUGGCACUAGAAGCCAAUGAAGGACGUUACUAACGACGAUAUGCUUUGGGGAGCUGUAAGUAAGCUUUGAUCCAGAGAUUUCCGAAUGGGGAAACCCAGCAUGAGUUAUGUCAUGUUAUCGAUAUGUGAAUACAUAGCAUAUCAGAAGGCACACCCGGAGAACUGAAACAUCUUAGUACCCGGAGGAAGAGAAAGAAAAUUCGAUUCCCUUAGUAGCGGCGAGCGAAACGGGAAGAGCCCAAACCAACAAGCUUGCUUGUUGGGGUUGUAGGACACUCUAUACGGAGUUACAAAGGACGACAUUAGACGAAUCAUCUGGAAAGAUGAAUCAAAGAAGGUAAUAAUCCUGUAGUCGAAAAUGUUGUCUCUCUUGAGUGGAUCCUGAGUACGACGGAGCACGUGAAAUUCCGUCGGAAUCUGGGAGGACCAUCUCCUAAGGCUAAAUACUCUCUAGUGACCGAUAGUGAACCAGUACCGUGAGGGAAAGGUGAAAAGCACCCCGGAAGGGGAGUGAAAUAGAACCUGAAACCGUGUGCUUACAAGUAGUCAGAGCCCGUUAAUGGGUGAUGGCGUGCCUUUUGUAGAAUGAACCGGCGAGUUACGAUUUGAUGCAAGGUUAAGCAGUAAAUGUGGAGCCGUAGCGAAAGCGAGUCUGAAUAGGGCGUUUAGUAUUUGGUCGUAGACCCGAAACCAGGUGAUCUACCCUUGGUCAGGUUGAAGUUCAGGUAACACUGAAUGGAGGACCGAACCGACUUACGUUGAAAAGUGAGCGGAUGAACUGAGGGUAGCGGAGAAAUUCCAAUCGAACCUGGAGAUAGCUGGUUCUCUCCGAAAUAGCUUUAGGGCUAGCCUCAAGUGAUGAUUAUUGGAGGUAGAGCACUGUUUGGACGAGGGGCCCCUCUCGGGUUACCGAAUUCAGACAAACUCCGAAUGCCAAUUAAUUUAACUUGGGAGUCAGAACAUGGGUGAUAAGGUCCGUGUUCGAAAGGGAAACAGCCCAGACCACCAGCUAAGGUCCCAAAAUAUAUGUUAAGUGGAAAAGGAUGUGGCGUUGCCCAGACAACUAGGAUGUUGGCUUAGAAGCAGCCAUCAUUUAAAGAGUGCGUAAUAGCUCACUAGUCGAGUGACACUGCGCCGAAAAUGUACCGGGGCUAAACAUAUUACCGAAGCUGUGGAUUGUCCUUUGGACAAUGGUAGGAGAGCGUUCUAAGGGCGUUGAAGCAUGAUCGUAAGGACAUGUGGAGCGCUUAGAAGUGAGAAUGCCGGUGUGAGUAGCGAAAGACGGGUGAGAAUCCCGUCCACCGAUUGACUAAGGUUUCCAGAGGAAGGCUCGUCCGCUCUGGGUUAGUCGGGUCCUAAGCUGAGGCCGACAGGCGUAGGCGAUGGAUAACAGGUUGAUAUUCCUGUACCACCUAUAAUCGUUUUAAUCGAUGGGGGGACGCAGUAGGAUAGGCGAAGCGUGCGAUUGGAUUGCACGUCUAAGCAGUAAGGCUGAGUAUUAGGCAAAUCCGGUACUCGUUAAGGCUGAGCUGUGAUGGGGAGAAGACAUUGUGUCUUCGAGUCGUUGAUUUCACACUGCCGAGAAAAGCCUCUAGAUAGAAAAUAGGUGCCCGUACCGCAAACCGACACAGGUAGUCAAGAUGAGAAUUCUAAGGUGAGCGAGCGAACUCUCGUUAAGGAACUCGGCAAAAUGACCCCGUAACUUCGGGAGAAGGGGUGCUCUUUAGGGUUAACGCUCAGAAGAGCCGCAGUGAAUAGGCCCAAGCGACUGUUUAUCAAAAACACAGGUCUCUGCUAAACCGUAAGGUGAUGUAUAGGGGCUGACGCCUGCCCGGUGCUGGAAGGUUAAGAGGAGUGGUUAGCUUCUGCGAAGCUACGAAUCGAAGCCCCAGUAAACGGCGGCCGUAACUAUAACGGUCCUAAGGUAGCGAAAUUCCUUGUCGGGUAAGUUCCGACCCGCACGAAAGGCGUAACGAUUUGGGCACUGUCUCAACGAGAGACUCGGUGAAAUCAUAGUACCUGUGAAGAUGCAGGUUACCCGCGACAGGACGGAAAGACCCCGUGGAGCUUUACUGUAGCCUGAUAUUGAAAUUCGGCACAGCUUGUACAGGAUAGGUAGGAGCCUUUGAAACGUGAGCGCUAGCUUACGUGGAGGCGCUGGUGGGAUACUACCCUAGCUGUGUUGGCUUUCUAACCCGCACCACUUAUCGUGGUGGGAGACAGUGUCAGGCGGGCAGUUUGACUGGGGCGGUCGCCUCCUAAAAGGUAACGGAGGCGCUCAAAGGUUCCCUCAGAAUGGUUGGAAAUCAUUCAUAGAGUGUAAAGGCAUAAGGGAGCUUGACUGCGAGACCUACAAGUCGAGCAGGGUCGAAAGACGGACUUAGUGAUCCGGUGGUUCCGCAUGGAAGGGCCAUCGCUCAACGGAUAAAAGCUACCCCGGGGAUAACAGGCUUAUCUCCCCCAAGAGUUCACAUCGACGGGGAGGUUUGGCACCUCGAUGUCGGCUCAUCGCAUCCUGGGGCUGUAGUCGGUCCCAAGGGUUGGGCUGUUCGCCCAUUAAAGCGGUACGCGAGCUGGGUUCAGAACGUCGUGAGACAGUUCGGUCCCUAUCCGUCGUGGGCGUAGGAAAUUUGAGAGGAGCUGUCCUUAGUACGAGAGGACCGGGAUGGACAUACCUCUGGUGUACCAGUUGUCGUGCCAACGGCAUAGCUGGGUAGCUAUGUGUGGACGGGAUAAGUGCUGAAAGCAUCUAAGCAUGAAGCCCCCCUCAAGAUGAGAUUUCCCAACUUCGGUUAUAAGAUCCCUCAAAGAUGAUGAGGUUAAUAGGUUCGAGGUGGAAGCAUGGUGACAUGUGGAGCUGACGAAUACUAAUCGAUCGAAGACUUAAUCA
rnacentral:rRNA from 1 species